rnacentral:tRNA from 1 species
ACCCACUUGGUGAAAUUGGUAAACACGACAGACUUAAAAUCUGUUCCAUUUUGGUUGCCGGUUCAAGUCCGGCAGUGGGUA